UGAUACCUUCCUCCUAAGGGAAGUUCUGUGCUCUCCAGUAGGGCCCAGCAGGGGUCAGAACCUUCUGGUGGCGUUUCCUGUCACAAAUGAAGUCACUUUUUUCAUGUGUGGCCAAAGAAGUGUAGAUCUCUGAUCUAAGUGUCCACCUUGGUGAAUUUGGGUAGCUCAGUGCUCCCCACCUGGACCUUUGUACUCUGAAAUAGUUUUAAACUGACAGAGGGCAGGGUUAGAUGGGAUAUUGGGAAGAAAUUGUUCCUUGUGAGGGUGGGGAGGCUCUGGCACAGAUUAUUCCAUGGAUGCCCCAUCCCUGGAAGUGUCCAAGGCCAGGCUGGACAGGGCUUGGAGCACCUGGGAUAGGAGAAGGUGACCCUGCCAUGGCAGGGGAGGGACAGGACAAGUUUUAAAGUCCCUCCCAACCCAAACCAUUCCAUGGCUCCGUGCUCUCUGCACACCUGCCAAUCCCAGGGUGCUCUCCCAUUAACUGCAUUUCUGGUCUCCAGUGGAAAACCAGUCCAGCACUGACCUUAUUUUUCUUCUUGUGGUGUCUGUGCAAAUGCUGGAGCUCAGCCUGUUUGGAAAACCAGGCCCUGCUGGUGCUGGAAGUUCUGCCCCCGUGUUCAUCGUGGCAAAAUUGUCAUUUCCAUCACAUCUGGGGGGGAAAGGGCCAGAAGAUUAUGGAGAAAAAGAGGAAAUAUGUGGGCAGCAAGUGGGACACACCCAAAGGAAAGUUUGGUAGGAAUGAGGGGAGAAAGGGCAGAUUGUGCAGAGAUCACUUCUGCCUUCAGCAAAUGGAGAAUGAAAUAUCUUCAUCUGCAUUUUGGGAUGAGCAACAAUAAAACUGCAAUUCCAGCUUGGCUCCUCUGGGAAGGGUUGGAGCUCCUCUUCCCUUGAAGAUGAGCGUGGAAGGGCUCAGGAGCAGGUCCUUGGUGUUCUGCUGAGAACCCCAGAGUGCCACAGGUUCAGGGACAGGCUGUUCCAGGGCAGGAGACCCCUGUGACCCCCCAAAUUCAGGCACCAGAGCUGUCACUGCUUGUGUGGGAUGAGCUCUGUUCAUCACCUCACCCGUGUGAGGAGGACACAGAGCUCCCAACCCCUCUCAGUUACACUUUUGGUCUCCCUUGCCUUCUUUUGCUGAAGGUCCUGGAGCUGAUUUUUGGCUUUUCCAGAACUUCCAUCUGUUUUAUAAUCUUCCCAAACCUUCAGCUCCCCUCUUACCUCACCAGGUCGCCCUCAGGUGCACUGCCCAGGAGGUGUGAGGGUUCCUGUUCUCCCUGCAAGAAGAGAAAUUCUCAUUUGGAAAGGAAACAAAUCAGCCAAAUGUGCUGGGGAAGAACCAAGAAAAUAAUGGAAUUCUCUCCUGGCAAUCC
rnacentral:lncRNA from 1 species